AACGAACGCUGGCGGCAAGCCUAACACAUGCAAGUCGAACGAGACCUUCGGGUCUAGUGGCGCACGGGUGCGUAACGCGUGGGAACCUGCCCUUAGGUUCGGAAUAACUCCCCGAAAGGGGUGCUAAUACCGGAUAAUGUCUUCGGACCAAAGAUUUAUCGCCUUUGGAUGGGCCCGCGUUGGAUUAGCUAGUUGGUAGGGUAAAAGCCUACCAAGGCGACGAUCCAUAGCUGGUCUGAGAGGAUGAUCAGCCACACUGGGACUGAGACACGGCCCAGACUCCUACGGGAGGCAGCAGUGGGGAAUAUUGGACAAUGGGCGAAAGCCUGAUCCAGCAAUGCCGCGUGAGUGAUGAAGGCCUUAGGGUUGUAAAGCUCUUUACCCGGGAUGAUAAUGACAGUACCGGGAGAAUAAGCUCCGGCUAACUCCGUG
rnacentral:rRNA from 1 species